rnacentral:rRNA from 1 species
GACGAACGCUGGCGGCGUGCCUAACACAUGCAAGUCGAACGGGGUCAGUUGCUUCGGUGAUUGACUUAGUGGCGAACGGGUGAGUAACGCGUGAGGAACCUGCCUUUCAGUGGGGGACAACAGUUGGAAACGACUGCUAAUACCGCAUAAUGCAGCUAGACCGCAUGGUCUUACUGCCAAAGCUUUAAGUGCUGAAAGAUGGCCUCGCGUCUGAUUAGCUAGUUGGUGGGGUAACGGCUCACCAAGGCGACGAUCAGUAGCCGGUCUGAGAGGAUGAACGGCCACAUUGGGACUGAGAUACGGCCCAG